rnacentral:lncRNA from 1 species
AAUACAUUUUGAUUAAAAUGUGGUUGGGUCUGGUGGGUUGGCCUUGGAUGCCAAGUGCCCCCCAAGCAGCUCUGCCAUUCCCCCUUCUCACUUGACCUGGAGAGAGAAAAUAAAAUGGGAAAGAACUUGUAGGUUGAGAUAAGGCCGUUCACUGGAACAAAAGAGAAAGGUUGUGCAUGCACAAACUAAGAAAAAAAGAAAAAGGUUUUGUUCUCUGCUUCCCAUCCAUGAGCGAAGUUCAGACACAUCCUGGGAAACAGGACUUCAGCACAUGUUUGUCUCCAAAAGACAAACAUUGCAAACAACAAAUGCCUCCUCUCACACCUCUUUUCUUUUUAGCUUUUAUAUCUGAACAGGUGUCAUGCGCUAUAGAUGAUUCUCUGGGUAUUUUGUGUCAUCUGUCCCGGUUGUGUCCCCUCCCAGGAUCCUGCCCCUCGAUGGGGGAAUGUUGGGAGGCAGUGCUGAGGCUCCGCCAGCCCUGCCAGCAGCAGCCAAAGCCCUGGGCUGUCACCAGCUCCUUUCCAGCUGCCCGGGCAACGCACAGCACCAUGAGGGCUGCUGUGGGAAAACACACAUGAGACUUUGCUGUCUUGUGUAUCUUUGUAGAAUGUUUUCAAGCAUCCAAGCUGAUGACACCCAGGCAGUCACAAUUCCAACUUGCUCAGAAAUGCACUGGGAGCCCCAUUAUUGGUAAUGCUUCAUGUAUGUUCAAUAUCCUGGAAGUGGUGAAAAGAGUCAUGGUGUCAGUAUCGAGGAAUGGGAUAAACUCAACAGGCAGAGAGGAAGUACUGGAAAUUAUGGAGUUUUCAUAAUUUCAAUCUGUCUGCAACCAGAAGCUGGGAAAUUUUAAUGAACAUUUGAACUGAGAUACCCAUGGCUGGUGGCUUGGAGUUUGAGCUGGACUGCAUGAUCUUCUUUAUGAUUCAGCCCAACUCCCCUUAUCUGGCUGAGUGGUCCCACCUACCGGGAAAUUUCCACAGGGAUUCAUAUGAAUUUAUCGCAACUGAACCAAGUCCUGUCAUCAUCUGCUGCAAAAGGGCUGAUCAGGUUCUGAGAGAAAAGUCUAAAUUUUCUGGAUCCAAACAAGGACCACAGGUUUGGAUAGCAAUUCUUGAUUCAUGGAGGAGGUUUCCAGCUGAAAUGUGCAGUCCUAAGGAGAAACAGGAUGGAGCAUCCACUGAUAAGGACAGCAGAACCGCACAGCGUUUUACUUACUUGAUAAGGGUAGUACAACAAGCAACAUUUACUCUCGUCAAGGACAGUACAACACAACGACACAGCUUUGGAGAAAUAAAUGAAGUAUGCAACUUAGGCAAACAGAAACUAUGCAAAAUGUAA